UUCCACUUCAUUCUUCUAUGACUGUAGAAAAACAAACCAAAGUUUUCCGAUAUGCCUCUCCUGAUCAGAGAAAGUUUCUGGAACAUUCCACUUCAUUCUUCUAUGACUGUAGAAAAACAAACCAAAGUUUUCCGAUAUGCCUCUCCUGAUCAGAGAAAGUUUCUGGAACAUACCAUUUCAUUCUUCUAUGACUGUAGAAAAACAAACCAAAGUUUUCCGAUAUGCCUCUCCUGAUCAGAGAAAGAUGAAAUAGAUGCAUGCAAAAGGGGGAUCUAUCACCUACUUCAUUUCAAGAAAUACCUAGGAAUCCUGAUGCAUCCACAGAAAAGGCUGAUGAUUCAUGCAGUAUUUCCUUCCAUCGAAAUCAGCAAGAUUCCAUUCCUUAUCUGUCAUCAGAUGUGACAAUGAAUUGACAAUGCAUAUUGUGACAAUUCUUGUGCAUUUCAAAAUAAAAUAUCCUCAUAUCCACCUGCAAACAAUAUAUAACUAACAAUACUCCUUCGUUAAGUAGAAAUUCUUCAACUGAAUCACCUGUAACAUACUGAAAAUGUUAUUCCUGAGGAAGUGGACUUUCUGAAUCAGGAAGAAGGAAUACCAACUAAAAAGAAAACAUUUUAUAUUAAAAAUACUUUAGAAAAGGGAAUGAAAGAUGUUCAACACAAAGUUUCCAGUGUUUCUUCUGUUCAAACGUAACAAAAAGAAGCACAGUAUACAGCAGUGAAUGGAACGUGUUCUUCUGUAUCUGAUGUUGACACAGAAGCAGUGUUUGAUAAAAGCGAAAAUACUGAAAGUGACAAAAGCUGUAAUUUCCAAAAGAAACAAAAAAUGGCAUAGAAAGAAAAAAAACUGUUACCGCACAAAACUCAAGAAUCUAUAGAUUCUCGCAUUGACACAUUUCUCUACAAUGUGAUAUGCUUAACAAGAAGUCAAAUAAAACAGAACUUUAAGCAUCAAACAGUCAUUUUUUUAAAGUGAUAUUAGUACUGAAACAGUUGUGAGUGAAAGUUAAAUAAAUGAAAACUCAUAGAAUGGUGCUUGUGUAAAGUACAGAAAAAAGCAGAUUUUUCUCACUCGAUGUCAGAUGAAGAGAAAAUAACAUCUGAUUUUUCAGUGUAUACGAAUAUUCACUACAAACUACAUAAUGCAAAGAUUCUAUACUAUACUAAAUCAUUCGAAGAUUCACUACGACUACUAUAAAAGUUGUUAAAGAAAAAAGAAAAACUGUUCUUUGGUCAAAAACGGCUUUUCAGUCACCUGACGUUAACUUUGUGCAUAAACGAAAUGAGACGCGACAUAAUAAUACAGAACUUUAAGUAUCAAACAGUCAUUUUCUGAAAGUGAUAUUAGUACUGAAACAGCUGUGAGUGAAAGUUAAAUGAAUGAAAACUCAUAGAAUGGUGCUUGUGCAAAGUACAGAAAAAAGCAAAUUUUUCUCACUUGAUGUCAGAUGAAGAGAAAAUAACAUCUGAUUUUUCAGUGUGUACGAAUAUUCACUACAAACUAUAUAAUGCAAAGAUUCUAUACUAUACUAUAUCAUACGAAGAUUGUUAAAGAAAAAAGAAAAACUGUUCUUUGGUCUAAAACGGCUUUUCAGUCACCUGACGUUAACUUUGUGCAUAAACCAAAUGAGACGCAACAUACUUUAAAAUCCCCAUACACAUAUUUUUCCAGAUAUAAUUGUGAGAACACGUUUAAUUAUAGCUGAUAAAACACAUAAUGUUUUCAAUAUUGACUUCAGAAAAUUGCAUGGACGCAUGUGCAGAAGAAAUAAAAAAAAUAUUGCAUUGCAUCUUAUCAUAUAAUAUUCCCCCUGAGUGAGAUUGCUCUUUUGGAAAAAAGAUGGACGAUGUAUUUGUGAUAGUUGUGCAACAGAAGAUAGUAAAAUCGAUGAGGUAAAAUGGUUUGACAAUCGAGCCGUUACUCUUCAAUGUACAUUUUUAUCAAAUAAUGAGCAGGACUUAGAAGUUAAAAAAUGGUGAAGGAAGGAUGUCAUCUUUACUGUUGUAGUUAGACCUGAAACUGCGAAGAUGGACGAUGUAUUUGUGAUAGUUAUGUAACAGAUGGUAAAAUCGCUGAGGUAAAAUGGCUUGACUAUCGAACUGUUACUCUAUAAUGUACAUUUUUAUCGAAUAAUGAGCAAGACCUAGAAGUUAGAAAAUGGUGAAGGAAGGAUGCCAUCUUUACUGUUGUAGUUAGACCUGAAACUGCGAAGAUGGACGAUGUAUUUGUGAUAGUUAUGUAACAGAUGGUAAAAUCGCUGAGGUAAAAUGGUUUGACAAUCGAAUUGUUACUCUAUAAUGUACAUUUUUAUCAAAUAAUGAGCAAGACCUAGAAGUUAGAAAAUGGUGAAGGAAGGAUGCCAUCUUUACUGUUGUAGUUAGACCUGAAACUGCGAAGAUGGACGAUGUAUUUGUGAUAGUUGUGUAACAAAAGAUGGUAAAAUCGCUGAGGUAAAAUGGUUUGACUAUCGAACUGUUACUCUAUAAUGUACAUUUUUAUCGAAUAAUGAGGAGGACCUAGAAGUUAAAAAAUGGUGAAGGAAGGAUGUCAUCUUUACGGUUGUAGUUAGGCCUGAAAUUGCGAAGUUCUACAAUAAAAAAUGAAAGGAAUGGACAAAUAUGACUUUCUAAUAUCACUGUGCCGGACUGCUAUAAAAAGCAGAGACUGGGCACUCCAUAUUAUGUUUCAAUACUUCAAUAAGGCUAUGAUAAACUCUCUGUUGGAGUACAAAGACGAUGCAACUUCUUAAGGAAUUCCUCUGAAAAAUCAAAUAUAUUUGCUGGAUUUUACGCUUGAUAUUGUAGAAACUCAAAAUCCUUUUCAAAGCAAUCAGCAUCUCCUACCAAACAUUGGAGGCAUCAUAUAGUGGCCCUAUUUUACGAACUUCAAAGAAAAAUUAAAUCAGCUUUUACGCCUGGCAAAAAUGUAUGAUAUAAUGGGCUAAAUCUUAUGACUGGAAGACGCCCAAAGCUACAGGGGGAGGGGGUGCAAAGUGUAAGGUUGUUCUUACAAGACUACUUGCAAACUGUAAGAUUGUUCUUACAAGAUUACUUGCAAACUGUAGUUAAAAUAGAUUUUCUCUCUCUACUUACUCUUCUACUUAACUUCUUCUUCUCUUUUUACUUAACUUUAGCCUAGUGUCCUACUAUUAAAACAUUUUUAAUAAGUGUGAUGAUUGGAAGAAUACUACAAUAUUUUAUAUUAAGAUGCUUACAUAUAAUGUAGCACAACCACUCAUUGAUUUUGUUUAUCUGUCCAAAUCAUAACUCAGGAUCGAAGAGGUUUUGAAUAUAGAAAUUUCAAUGUUUAUCUCUAAAAUUUUAGUAUCCUUUUGAUGUAUUUAUUAACUAAACAAGCGAAGCCAAAAUUAAACAAAUAAAGAAUUCAUCUCAAGCAAUUUUAAUUUAAAUUAUGAAUCAGAAAUAAAAUUGUUUGUUAAAAUUUUAUCUAAUUUUUUAUUCCUCACAUAUAU